GGUGCCGUUGAUAAUUUUGGGCUAGGAAUGCGGGAUGCCGUGGGAGGAAUGUGUGGUGUAGCGGUGAAAAUGCAUAGAUAUCCACACAGGAACAACGGAUUGCGAAGGCAUCUCACGAAUCCCGCAAUUGACGCUGAGGCACGAAAGCGUGGGGAUCAAACAGGAUUAGAUACCCUGGUAGUCCACGCUGUAAACGAUGAUGACUAACUGUCGGCGAUACACAGUCGGUGGCCAAGCGAAAGCGAUAAGUUAUCCACCUGGGGAGUACGACCGCAAGGUUGAAACUCAAAGGAAUUGACGGGGGCCCGCACAAGCGGAGGAACAUGUGGUUUAAUUCGAUGAUACGCGAGGAACCUUACCCGGGCUCGAACGGUGCAUGAAAGUUCAAGAGAUUGGACAGUCCUUCGGGACAUGUAUCGAGGUGCUGCAUGGUUGUCGUCAGCUCGUGCCGUGAGGUGUCGGCUUAAGUGCCAUAACGAGCGCAACCCUUGUCAUUAGUUACCAUCAGGUUAAGCUGGGGACUCUAGUGAGACUGCCACCGUAAGGUGUGAGGAAGGGGGGGAUGACGUCAAAUCAGCACGGCCCUUAUGUCCGGGGCGACACACGUGUUACAAUGGGAGGUACAGAGGGCAGUCAGUUAGUGAUAACGAGCCAAUCUCAAAAACCUCUCUCAGUUCGGAUUGGAGUCUGCAACUCGA
rnacentral:rRNA from 1 species